GCCCCGCUAAGGCAUCGCCCGAACACCCGACACCCCCAGUGCCGGCGGGCGCGCGGUUCGAAUCCGCGGCGGGGCGC
rnacentral:tRNA from 1 species